GUGUGUGUGGUGUGUGCAUGUGUGGUGUGUGUAUGGUGUGGGGGUGUGUGUGUGUGGUGUGUGGUGUGUGUGGUGUGGUGUGGUGUGUGUGUAGUGUGUGGUGUGUGUUGUGUGUGUGGUGUGUGAUGUGUGUGUGUGGUGUGUGUGUAGUGUGUGGUGUGUGUGUGAUGUGUGUGUAGUGUGUGGCAUGUGUGUAGUGUGUGGUGUGUGUUUGUGUGCUGUGUGUGUGUGCUAUGUGUGUGGUGUGUGUGUGUGGUGUGUGUAGUGUGUGUGUGUGCAUGUGUGUG
rnacentral:lncRNA from 1 species